AAACCAACAGGGAUUGCCUUAGUAACUGCGAGUGAAGCGGCAAAAGCUCAAAUUUGAAAUCUGGCGUCUUUGGGCGUCCGAGUUGUAAUUUGAAGAAGGUAACUUUGGGUUUGGCCCUUGCAUAUGUUCCUUGGAACAGGACGUCAUAGAGGGUGAGAAUCCCGUAUAUGGUGAGGUGCCCAUUCCUUUGUAAAGUGCUUUCGAAGAGUCGAGUUGUUUGGGAAUGCAGCUCUAAGUGGGUGGUAAAUUCCAUCUAAAGCUAAAUAUUGGCGAGAGACCGAUAGCGAACAAGUACAGUGAUGGAAAGAUGAAAAGAACUUUGAAAAGAGAGUGAAAAAGUACGUGAAAUUGUUGAAAGGGAAGGGCUUGAAAUCAGACUUGGUAUUCAGUGAUCAACUACCUUUCGGGGUUGUGCACUCGCUGUUUACUGGGCCAGCAUCGGUUUGAACGGUGAGAUAAUAACUUUGGAAUGUGGCUCAUCUUCGGGUGAGUGUUAUAGCCUUUGUUGAUAUCACCAGUUUGGACCGAGGACCGCGCUUCGGCUAGGAUGCUGGCGUAAUGAUUUAAGCAC
rnacentral:rRNA from 2 species